AUGUUUGCAAAUGUAUCAAAUGUUGCUAUGUUAUUCUAAUCUUCUGCUAUCUCUCUUUUUUAAACUGCUGGCAUUAUAGUUACUAGAAAAAUCAAUAAAUCAAUCAAAUUAAUUUCACUUUGCUCUGCAGACAAACUGAAGCGAUUUCCACAUCUCCUUUUUCAGGCUGCGGGACAUUAAGCUUUCAUGUUUACAAAUUGUACAGCUGUCACCUUAAAAAUAAACAGCAGCACUCAGAGUGUGCUCAGUGACAAAAUAAUGAGCUUUUCUUUUUUUUAAUGAGAUUUUUUUCCUUUUUUUUGUUGUUGUUGUUUUAUAGAUUUUUAAUCAUUAUUUUUUAUUUAUUUUAUUUUAUUUCAAGUAGUUCAGAACAAUAGUUCCCCAGGCUUUCUAAAGGUCUUCUCAUUGGACAGCGGUUCCUUUUAUACUCAUUUUCCUGAGAAUACUUAAAGUGCCGAUAACAUUUCAUGCUGUGCUAAAGAAUAAAGGUGGUCAUACCAAAUAUUAACUUUCAAGCUCAUUCAAAUCAAAAUACAAAAUAAAUGUUUUUACCUUGUAGAAGUAUUAAUGGUAACCUUUUCCAGGUAGUUAGAAAUACUCUCUAAAUAAUAAUGUGCAUGUGCUCACAUGAGUCCACCAGUACAUCUUUUACAUAUCUGUCUCUGUGUGUUCAAGGUGCUACUGGUUGUGCGGGCCCACCAGUUCUAUGUUGCGCUGGUCGGAACAGCUCCUGUAACAGAGAGUGUUUCUGUGACGAGGAUUGUGUGGAAUCGGGUGACUGCUGUCCUGACUAUAGUUCAACCUGUGGACAAUCAUCCACCGUUUCACCAACACUUUCUUCCGUCUCUACUAAGCCAACUACAGCGAUUGUUCGCCUAAAGGUUAAUUUUCAAUGUCGUUCUGAAGUCCAAGAACAAGCAAUUUUAGAAAUUUCAUCUUUUCUUCAGGGACGUUUCCAGGAGAGCUGUAAGGGCUGCGCAGUGAAGGUCAAACCCGUGUGAGGAUUUGGGCAAUGAAAGCGUGAUUUUUGGAUAAAACGACACCGUGAUGACAGACUCCAACACUCAUCUGCUAAAUAUAAAUAAGCUAUUAAAAGCUAAUAAAGUUAACUGACUAUUUCAGAAUUAAUAAAGCACUCUAUGUUUGCAUUCAUGUAGCAGCAUCUACAUCCUUCUGAGCUCUUAUUUAGUUUUUAUUUUAAACUCAAUCAAAGAAAACAUUUAUAGCACAUGUGCUUUGUUUGAUUCACUCUUUUCUGUUUUUUUCAUAAUAAAAGUCACAGGGUUUACUCUUUACUAACUAUUGUCAAGAUCCAACGCUGAGUUGACAGGUUCUUUUUCACAUUAAAAACAUAGAGGAAUGUUUUACACAGAUGUGAAUGUUGACCAUAUAUUUAGAUUAUAAGGGUUUUUAACAGAUUUCACUUCACUUCCAAUUUUAUGGGAAAAAUCUAGAAAAAAUGAAGAAAUUCUCACAAUUAUCUGGCAGAAAAAUAAUUCACCGUACAAAUCCAGUCUGCUGUGGUCAAGGAAAUAGCCACACUUACUAAGAUAUGAUACUCUGAAACAUGCCUGUGCUGCUGAGGCUUGGCUUUAGUGCUGUUAGAAUAUAAUUACAUUAAACCCACAUGUAAUAUAUCAUUCAUUUGAACUUCAUUUGAAAAUCAAUGACAUUAAUGACUUAGCCUCUAUUUCUGCCAUGAUUAAUGUAAUCUUGCAUAAUUAUAAACACAUUCAUUGUAGCAAAUAAACAAAUAGAAAUCAUUUUUUUUGUUCAGAUGUUUUCAUAUUUCAUAAUGUAUAUUCCACUGUGUUAAAUAGAUUGGUUUAAUUGAUUUGUGC
ensembl:lncRNA